rnacentral:rRNA from 1 species
UACGUAGGGUGCAAGCGUUGUCCGGAAUUAUUGGGCGUAAAGGGCUCGUAGGCGGUCCAUCGCGUCGGGAGUGAAAAGCUGGGGCUUAACCCCAGUCCUGCUUUCGAUACGGGUGGACUAGAGGUAGGCAGGGGAGAAUGGAAUUCCUGGUGUAGCGGUGAAAUGCGCAGAUAUCAGGAGGAACACCGGUGGCGAAGGCGGUUCGCUGGGCCGUACCUGACGCUGAGGAGCGAAAGCAUGGGGAGCAAACAGG